rnacentral:rRNA from 1 species
AAAACUCAAAGGAAWUGACCGGGGCCCGCACAAGCGCCGGAGCAUGUGGCUUAAUUCGACGCGACGCGAAGAACCUUACCAGGGCUUGACAUGCGGGGUGAAGCCGUAGAAAUACGGUCCUCCUUCGGGAGCCCGCACAGGUGCUGCAUGGCCGUCGUCAGCUCGUGCCGUGAGGUGUUGCCUUAAGUGGCGCAACGAGCGCAA